rnacentral:misc_RNA from 1 species
UUCCGUUUUUUUUUUUUUUUCAAUGUUCCUUCUUUAUGAAGGAUUCUUAUUUAGUUUCCCUUCUUUAUUUAGGAUUCCUAUUUAGUAAAGUAUUUUACUUUAGGCUAUGGCCUGGUCAAAUUUGUGGUUUUGGGGGCGUUGACGUGGAAAAAAUAUUUUUUUUUAAUAUGUUGUUGCUGACGUGGCAGAAAUUUUUAUAUUCUUGCUGACGUGGCAAUAAUAUUAUUAUUUUAUAUGUUGUUGCGAACGUGGCAUAACUUUAAUAAUUAAGAAAUCUAAAACUUUUAGACUUUUG